rnacentral:rRNA from 1 species
CGAAUGGGGAAACCCAGUGUGACUCGUCACACUAUCAUUAACUGAAUCCAUAGGUUAAUGAGGCGAACCGGGGGAACUGAAACAUCUAAGUACCCCGAGGAAAAGAAAUCAACCGAGAUUCCCCCAGUAGCGGCGAGCGAACGGGGAGGAGCCCAGAGCCUGAAUCAGCAUGUGUGUUAGUGGAAGCGUCUGGAAAGGCGCGCGAUACAGGGUGACAGCCCCGUACACAAAAGCGCAUGUGCUGUGAGCUCGAUGAGUAGGGCGGGACACGUGGUAUCCUGUCUGAAUAUGGGGGGACCAUCCUCCAAGGCUAAAUACUCCUGACUGACCGAUAGUGAACCAGUACCGUGAGGGAAAGGCGAAAAGAACCCCGGCGAGGGGAGUGAAAAAGAACCUGAAACCGUGUACGUACAAGCAGUGGGAGCACCCUUUGGGUGUGACUGCGUACCUUUUGUAUAAUGGGUCAGCGACUUAUAUUCUGUAGCAAGGUUAACCGAAUAGGGGAGCCGGAGGGAAACCGAGUCUUAAUUGGGCGUUAAGUUGCAGGGUAUAGACCCGAAACCCGGUGAUCUAGCCAUGGGCAGGUUGAAGGUUGGGUAACACUAACUGGAGGACCGAACCGACUAAUGUUGAAAAAUUAGCGGAUGACCUGUGGCUGGGGGUGAAAGGCCAAUCAAACCGGGAGAUAGCUGGUUCUCCCCGAAAGCUAUUUAGGUAGCGCCUCGUGAAUUCAUCUCCGGGGGUAGAGCACUGUUUCGGCUAGGGGGCCAUCCCGGCUUACCAACCCGAUGCAAACUGCGAAUACCGGAGAAUGUUAUCACGGGAGACACACGGCGGGUGCUAACGUCCGUCGUGAAGAGGGAAACAACCCAGACCGCCAGCUAAGGUCCCAAAGUCAUGGUUAAGUGGGAAACGAUGUGGGAAGGCCCAGACAGCCAGGAUGUUGGCUUAGAAGCAGCCAUCAUUUAAAGAAAGCGUAAUAGCUCACUGGUCGAGUCGGCCUGCGCGGAAGAUGUAACGGGGCUAAACCAUGCACCGAAGCUGCGGCAGCGAACGUAUCACUUAAAGCGAUUCAGCGGGUUACGAUUGACGGAGCGAAGCGACGUCAAAGCGUAUACAAAGUCGAGUCGGUUUAAGGAUACGUUCGUUGGGUAGGGGAGCGUUCUGUAAGCCUG